AGGCUUCCUGUAUGAGACACUGAUUAUUGAGCUAAGGACUGGCUGUAGCCUAGACAGUCUUCCAGCCUGGACGGAGGCCUCCUGAGCAACUCAGAGUGAAUGUGUUUUCAGAGUUAAGUACCAGGUCAUCGGGAGGUCUCUACUUUGAAAGUGGGGAAACUGAGUCUCAAGCUCGGGGACAUCAAUAGUCAGGAAGCUCAGAUCCACAGAGAGAAGCUGGCUUCUGCCCGAGUUCCAUACUCCUCUAGGCUUCUCCAUCGGCCACAUGAUGUCAUGACUUUCUGAGCAGUGUCAAUGUGGAAUUGGUUCAAUCUGCAGAGGAAAAUCUGUGACCAGUCACUAAGCACAUCUAGAUGUAAAUAUGAAUUUCUUCAGUCAAGCCAGAGUAGAGCAUUAUUAUCAGACUCCAAGUCCAGACAGAAACACAAAGAACCUGCUUGUGGAGACCAGAGGGCCAUGCUCUGGCACAGAGAAGGGAGCUAGUGAGUUCCCAGGUUUUCAAUUUGCAUAAAUUACUUUUAUAAUUAAAAUGUAUCUGCACCCAUAA
rnacentral:lncRNA from 1 species